AAUUAUCUCGAAAGUAAAAGAUCUAAUUUGGUUUAUUAGUUUUUGUGUCAAAAAAAUUUAAGAAGUUAAUUUAGGUGUGAAAUGUUAAUCGUUUUUACUAAUAUCUAGCAACUUUAGAAAUAAAUUUAGUUUAGGCUAUAGAGAAUUUCUUUAAUUUGAAGAAAUUUUUAAAAAGGUCUUAUAUUUUAGGGGAUGAGCUCUAAAAUAAAUUUAUAAGGAAUUACAAGCUUUAAUUUUUUGGUAGGCUUAGAAUUGGCCAUAAGAUAGUGUUUUAAGAUAGAAAUUUAAGCGUGAGAUUUAAUUUUCUUUAGGUUGUAUAAAGUUAAGUAGUAAAUUAAGCAGUAGUUGAAAAUAUGAUAGUAUAAGUAGAUAUUAAAGAUUGAGAAAAAAAUUUGGACUUUUCAUAAAAUAAGAUAGUAAAAAUUGUAAUAGAAGAACUCGGCAAAAAAGAUUUCCGAAUGUUUAACAAAAACAUUUCCUCUUGAAAAAAGGAGGUAAGGCCUGCUCACUGAAAUUUAAAGAGCCGCAGUAUCCUGACUGUGCUAAGGUAGCAUAAUCAUUAGUCUUUUAAUUGGAGACUGGUAUGAAUGGUUAAACGAGAAAUCAGCUUUUUUUGUUAUAAAAAUUGAAUUUAAUUUUUUAGUGAAAAAGCUAAAAUAAGUCAGAAAGACGAGAAGACCCUAUAGAGUUUUAUAUUGAAGAAAACUUUUUUUUAAUAGAUUUAUUUAAAUAAAAUUUUCGAAGAUAUUUUGUUGGGGCGACAUUAAGAUAAAAAAAACUCUUUAUUUUUUAAACUUUAUUGAAAGAWUUAGUUUGAUCCUUUAAAAAAGAUCAUAAGAAAAAAUUACCUUAGGGAUAAACAGCGUAAUCUUUUUUGAGAGUUCUAAUCGAACAAAAAGGUUUGCGACCUCGAUGUUGGACUAAAAUUUAGACA
rnacentral:rRNA from 1 species